AUUGAACGCUGGCGGCAUGCUUUACACAUGCAAGUCGAACGGCAGCGGGGGCUUCGGCCUGCCGGCGAGUGGCGAACGGGUGAGUAAUGCAUCGGAACGUGCCCAUGUCGUGGGGGAUAACGUAUCGAAAGGUACGCUAAUACCGCAUACGCCCUGAGGGGGAAAGCGGGGNUUCUUCGGAACCUCGCGCGAUUGGAGCGGCCGAUGUCGGAUUAGCUAGUAGGUGAGGUAAAGGCUCACCUAGGCGACGAUCCGUAGCGGGUCUGAGAGGAUGAUCCGCCACACUGGGACUGAGACACGGCCCAGACUCCUACGGGAGGCAGCAG
rnacentral:rRNA from 1 species